CUAUAGAAAGCUUAUUUUGUUUGAAAAGUUAAUACAUAUGUGUGGUUUGUAUGCUACAGUUGGUAUAUUGUAACUGAAGACUUGGCUGCUGUGCGUUAGUUGGAGUCCGUCUGGAAGCUGGGCUCUGGCAUGAGACUCCCACGUUGGAGGUCCGCAGCAGUGGCAUGUGGCUGCAAUGGUAUCGGACCUCUGCUGAAUUCGUCAGAGUGGAGCACUCGUGGAGAUGGCAGCAUGCAAAAGUAAAUCAAUGCGGCAGAGUCAUCAUAUGAAGAGGAGGGAAGUUCAACAAAAGCUUAGAAAAGACAGCAAAAUAGAAAGAAAAGAAACAAGAAAGAUGGAAGAAAAUACCUAAUAGGAUCAAUCCAAAUGCCUUGAUAGGAUAUAUGGAUAUCUAGGAAGACCCCUUCUAAGAGCCACAACGCAGAGACUUCUAUGGGAGAUUAAACAAAAAAAAAAAAGCCAAGAUUUCCGUGGAAAAACGUCUCCACAUGCUGCAUCUUUGAAAGACUGCCACUGAGACGAAAAGAACGUCAAAGAGGAAAAACGCCAAAAGUUUUUCCAACAUGAUUUCAGCAAUACAUGAUAGAUGGUGUGACGGGAUCUCAGUGAUGAAAGUAUUCCACAUGUCCUGUAGAUACUGGCCGGCAAUACAGGGCUUACAAAACAAGCAAGAACAAAAUCUAUAAAAAAAAUAAUACCUUGCUAGGUUUUCAAGAGGACCUGUCACCUCCCUGAUGUGCAUUUUAGCAAAAAACUGAAUUUGCCAUAAGAUAAAAAUUCUGGAGCAUAUUUUCUCAUGGCUUUGCAUAGUGGAUUACGCUCUUAUUACUUCUAGAACUUCAUGAAUAAAUAAAUAGUCAACUGGGUGUUACAUCAUUACACUAUUCAAUCAGUGCACAACACACACAAUUAAGGGAAACAGUCAUUGUCAGGUUAUUCAUUUAUUUCUAGCAAGAAUAAUAGAACAACAUUUUUCUGAAUUGUUAUUUCAUGGGAAAUAUAAAUGUUUACCAAUGCGUAUCUCAGGAGGGCAAACAGGUCCCCUUUAACACUGCUAACUUUCCUGAAAACAUCCUUAAUUGUGAGUGAAAUGAGGGAGUAACAUUUGUUAAAGUGACAUGUCAAAAGGUUUCCUAAGUGACAGUGUCCAUUUAAAGGUGAUGUACAUUCAUCUGAAUGGUCACUAUGUAUUACUGCACUUCACCACAUCUAUAGGGUGAACUAACUGCUUGCAUCUCCAAACAAACCCGUCUGCUCGCGGAAUUCAGCAAGCGGAGAUUCGGUCUGGCAGCUGCCGCCAAAAUUCUUUGGCAGUAGGACCGCACAGCCCUGCGCCGCCACCAUUGACGGCUAUGCAGUGCUCGCAGACUUCCGCGCAAAGAAUGAACAUGUUCCUCCUUUGUGCGGAACAAUUUCAGUGGCGGAAUUGCCUCCCGUGGAAGACCCAUUCACACUGAUAAAGUCCACCGCAGGAAUUCCGUAACGUGAACGCACCUUUAUGGGGUCAUGGACACACACUUAGUCUGUCUAGGGCCCCUUUCACACUACGGAAUUCUCGCGGCUGAAUUCCGCGAGCGGAGAUUCCGCCUGGCGACCGCCGCCGAAGAUACUUCGGCGCUAGACCCGCGGGGCACUGAGCCGUCACCAUUGACGGCUAUGGUCCGCUCGCGGAUUCCACACAAAGAAUGAACAUGUUCUUUCUUUGCGCGGAACACUUUCAAAUGUCCGUCGCUGAAAUUCCGCAGUGUGAACGGGUCUCGCGGAGACCCAUUCACUAAUGUUAAAGUUCACACCGCAGAAUUGCGCCCGCGGAAUUCCGCCCGGAAAUUCCGCGGCAAUACCGUAGUGUGGACGGGACCUAAGACAAAUACUGGAGUGUUUUGCCCACAACAACCACCCACAACUGAGCUUUCGUUUUCCAGAGCUCAUUAAGAGCUGUGAUUGGAUGUUGUGGGCAAAUCACUACAGUUUAUGUCUUGGACAAACUGAUAAUGAGGAGACAAUAUGGCCCAGGUUUAGGUCACUCAGGUUUCCACUUUAUAACAAUACCAAA